GGCACGGUGGUGCAGUGGUAACAUACCCGCUUCUAUUACGUGUGUUUCCAAGAGUUCGGUGGGAGUCUCCCAUUCGAAUCGGGGCCAGGCCA